AUGAGACCACUGGGUCGUCUACUGUGCCUGGUCACAGCUCCCCAAUGUGUCCUGUCCCAGGUGCAGCUACAGGAGUCAGGACCUAUCCUGCUGAAGCCUUCGGAGACCUGUCCCUCACCUGUACAGUCUCUGGUUACUCCAUUACCAGUGGUAACUGUGUCUGGAGCUGGAUCUGCCAGCCUCCUGGGAAGAGCCUGGAGUGGAUUGGGUACAUAACUUUUGGUGGAAGUACUAACUACAGCUCAUCCCUCAAGAGCCGCAUCUCCAUUACCAGAGACACGUCCAAGAACCAGUUCUCCCUGCAGCUCAGCUCUGUGACCACAGAGGACACAGCUGUGUAUUACUGUGCAAGAAGCACAGUGAGGGGACCUCAGUGUGAGCACAGACACAAACCUCCCUGCAAGUACACUCAGGGUCAGCAUGGGGCGCUCAGCUCACGGCCAGCACAGCUUCAGUCCCAAUGUUAG